GCAAAAUCAGAGCUAAGUCGUUUGGAAUAUCUGAAAACGAGCCAGACCAGGACAGAGAGAGUUGUUCUUAUCUUAUAUAUAUAUAUACUUGUGUAUAUUGCACUUGAAAGUAGAAUAUGGUGGAGGAGUAGCAGACGGAAGGUUGAAGAGAACCCUAAGGAUCCGCACUUUGAAUGGCAAAGUUGCGCAGCAUCAUUACCAAAUCGCGGGACCUGACGAGGGGAAGAAGACGGGGGAAAAAAGAUAAACAAAGAGCACACAAGAGAUUUACAGAAAACUGCUUCGCUUUGUCGUAUGGAACGUCAAUAAUAGUUUUUCAAGUUUUCCAGAAUUUCGCAAAACUUCUCCGAUGGGAUGGGCUGUUUGAUUAGAUCACGUGACUCGGCCCUCUGCUUUCGUCAGCGCAAAAAAAUACUGAUAGAGACAGAGAGAGAGCCUACAGAAAAAAUAAAUAAAUAAAGAAGAAAAUAGUCGCUCAAGUGAAUUAAAACGACCAUAACACGGUUUCCGCUUCUCUCGCAAUUGAGGUUUUGGCUCGGAGUGGGUGUACCAAAAAAAAAAAAAAGUGAGGAAAGCCAAUAUUCAACGAGCUUACAGAGUGAUAAGCCCUGGCCAAGUCAGUACCCACCAAACUGAAGGGAGAAUGUGUGUAAUGAAAAUGGAGAGAGAAAAAGAGAGAUCUAUACUUUUCUUUCGUGUGUAGCCAGAGAAAGGGACAUUGGUCCAUCCCUUUCCGGUCACAGCCAGACAUUUUUUACUCUAUAAGCCAAGAGAGUGACCCAGCUUGUUCGAUCCGGCUAGUUGGGUUUCUCUCUCCUUUCAGUACAACAUGAAAGAUUCGUUCGUGUGUCAUUUCCUUCUUUUUUCUUUUAGAUUUCUCUUUAGGCAGACAAACAAAUGAAAAAAGUGAGCCAAUUCAUUCCAAAGUCUUCUCGCUCAAUCUUAUUGGCCCGGCUUUGUCGAUUUCAAAAGGUCAAUUUAGUUCCACUCUGCUGGGCUUCCUUACAUCUGAUAGGUAGCCGGUUUUUUUCUGAAAUAUUCCAUUUCAAACGUCAGGAACUUUGGUUUGGUCACAACCCAAGUUGUGCCUUGACAUCCAGACGUGACUGGAACUGAUGU